GACGAACGCUGGCGGCGUGCUUAACACAUGCAAGUCGGACGGAAAGGCCUGCUUUCCCUUGUGGAUUGCGGGUACUCGAGUGGCGAACGGGUGAGUAACACGUGAGUGAUCUGCCCCCAACUUGGGUAUAAGCCUGGGAAACUGGGUCUAAUUCCCGAUAGGACUGCAGGGUGGUGCCUGUGGUGGAAAACGAUUUUCUAGUGGUUGGGGAUGAGCUCGCGGCCUAUCAGCUUGUUGGUGGGGUAAUGGCCUACCAAGGCGGCGACGGGUAGCCGGCCUGAGAGGGUGGACGGCCACAUUGGGACUGAGAUACGGCCCAGACUCCUACGGGAGGCAGCAGUGGGGAAUAUUGCACAAUGGGCGGAAGCCUGAUGCAGCGACGCCGCGUGGGGGAUGACGGCCUUCGGGUUGUAAACUCCUUUCGACCGCGAGGAAGCCACCUGGUUGGAAGGGUGGUGACGGUAGUGGUAGAAGAAGCACCGGCUAACUACGUG
rnacentral:rRNA from 1 species